rnacentral:tRNA from 1 species
UAGCUCAGUGGUUAAGCGGUCGGCUGUUAACCGAUUGGUCGUAGGUUCGAAUCCUGU